GGAAUUGCAAUUGGAAUAGAAACGGUAAUGAAUCAGAAGAAGAAAUGGACUGAUAAACGCUUCAAUUUGUUUGGUUCAUAAGAAAAAUCGGAAGGAAUUAUGUUCAAAUUAAAAAUCAAAAACUUAAAUUUACUACUUAAAUUCGUAUCAAAAUUUGAAUGCAAAGAUGAACUCUCAAUUUAUUUAAUUUACAAUUCAAAUUCAUGUUCAAAAUUAAAAUUUGAAUUUAAAACUAAAUUCAAAUGCCAAACUUAUAUUAUAAUUUAAACCUAAACUUAAGAUACANUUUACAAUUCAAAUUCAUGUUCAAAAUUAAAAUUUGAAUUUAAAACUAAAUUCAAAUGCCAAACUUAUAUUAUAAUUUAAACCUAAACUUAAGAUACAAAAUUAAAACUUUGAAUUCAUAAUUCAAAUUCAAAUAUAAAAUUAUAAUUAAAAAUUAAACAUAUAUUAAUAUUUAAAUUUAAAUAAUUUUCAGUGAAAAAAAGAAUUUUUUUCACUA
rnacentral:lncRNA from 1 species